UAGGGAAUCUUCCGCAAUGGGCGAAAGCGUGACGGAGCAACGCCGCGUGAGUGAUGAAGGUCAUCGGAUCGUAAAACUCUGUUAUUAGGGAAGAACAAAUGUGUAAGUAACUAUGCACGUCUUGACGGUACCUAAUCAGAAAGCCACGGCUAACUACGUGCCAGCAGCCGCGGUAAUACGUAGGUGGCAAGCGUUAUCCGGAAUUAUUGGGCGUAAAGCGCGCGUAGGCGGUUUUUUAAGUCUGAUGUGAAAGCCCACGGCUCAACCGUGCAGGGUCAUUGGAAACGUGAAAACUUGAGUGCAGAAGAGGAAAGUGGAAUUCCAUGUGUAGCGGUGAAAUGCGCAGAGAUAUGGAGGAACACCAGUGGCGAAGGCGACUUUCUGGUCUGUAACUGACGCUGAUGUGCGAAAGCGUCUGGAUCAAACAGG
rnacentral:rRNA from 1 species